CUACGGGAGGCUGCAGUGGGGAAUAUUGCACAAUGGGCGCAAGCCUGAUGCAGCCAUGCCGCGUGUAUGAAGAAGGCCUUCGGGUUGUAAAGUACUUUCAGCGGGGAGGAAGGGAGUAAAGUUAAUACCUUUGCUCAUUGACGUUACCCGCAGAAGAAGCACCGGCUAACUCCGUGCCAGCAGCCGCGGUAAUACGGAGGGUGCACGCGUUAAUCGGAAUUACUGGGCGUAAAGCGCACGCAGGCGGUUUGUUAAGUCAGAUGUGAAAUCCCCGGGCUCAACCUGGGAACUGCAUCUGAUACGGGCAAGCUUGAGUCUCGUAGAGGGGGGUAGAAUUCCAGGUGUAGCGGUGAAAUGCGUAGAGAUCUGGAGGAAUACCGGUGGCGAAGGCGGCCCCCUGGACGAAGACCGACGCUCAGGUGCGAAAGCGUGGGGAGCAAACAGGAUUAGAUACCCGCGUAGUC
rnacentral:rRNA from 1 species